rnacentral:misc_RNA from 1 species
GAUGAAGAACGUAGCGAAAUGCGAUAAGUAAUGUGAAUUGCAGAAUUCAGUGAAUCAUCGAAUCUUUGAACGCACAUUGCGCCCCUUGGUAUUCCGAGGGGCAUGCCUGUUCGAGCGUCAUUAUAACCCCUCAAGCUCAGCUUGGUGUUGGGGCCUGCUGCACUGGCAGCCCUUAAAAUCAGUGGCGGCGCCAUCUGGCUCUAAGCGUAGUAAUUCUUCUCGCUAUGGGGUCCCGGGGACGCUCGCCAGAACACCCAACUUCUUAAUGAUUGACCUCGGAUUAGGUAGGGAUACCCGCUGAACUUAAGCAUAUCAAUAAGCGGAGGA